rnacentral:rRNA from 1 species
GAGUACGUGGUAGCAGGGGCCGCGGUGAGAGGGAGGGGGUAGUCUUUGUCCGGAGUGAUUGGGGGUAAAGAGGGGUGAGUCGGCCUGGAAGGUCAGCGGUGAAAACUGGAGGGUCAACCUCGAGACGUCGGUUGAAACCACCUGGCUAGAGUCCGGAAGAGGAGUGUGGAAUGCCCGGUGUAGCGGUGAAAUGCGCAGAUAUCGGGAAGAACACCCGUGGCGAAGGCGGCACUCUGGGACGGUACUGACGCUGAGACGCGAAAGCGUGGGGAGCGAACAGGAUUAGAUACCCUAGUAGUC